AACGCACAUUGCGCCCCCUGGCAUUCCGGGGGGCAUGCCUGUCCGAGCGUCAUUUCUGCCCUCAAGCACGGCUUGUGUGUUGGGUGUGGUCCCCUCCCUGGCGGGGGGACCUGCCCGAAAGGCAGCGGCGACGUCGCGUCCGGUCCUCGAGCGUAUGGGGCUUUGUCACUCGCUCGGGAAGGACCUGCGCACGUCUGUCACAACUGUAUUUUUUUACCACGGUUGACCUCGGAUCAGGUAGGAGUUACCCGCUGAACUUAA
rnacentral:misc_RNA from 1 species